UGUUGCGUUUAUAUUUUUGUUGAGUGUAAUUGACUUUGGGGUGGCCUUCAAAGUCUCAAGCAUUCCCCUUGGACUGAUGGUCCAGCCUCUGGGUUUCAACCUAUGGCACCAGAGGUUACCCUGGGUCUCCCUCUCUCUCAGGCCAUUGACAUGUGGGGUCUAGGCUGCAUCCUGGUUCACCUGUACCUUGCAGAUCAGCUGUAUUCGUCUGAUGUGGCGGCAGUUGCUGACCUUCUGGACACGCCAGAGGACUGACUCAUCAGCAGUGGAGUCGUCACCCAAACCACCACUGCAGAGACUGACGACUGCCACGCUCCAACAUGGACACUGAACGUGUCGUACCCAGAAAAUAAUAAUCUUCUAGUUGCUGAAUACAAUUUUAAAAUCAGUAACACAUUUAUGGACAAGUGUUUCAAGUGUUCUUUGUUCCUUAGAGUCCUGACGAAUACGAAGAUGAUGGGGAUCUGGAACAUGAUCUGUACUGUCUGAACAAGCUGAUUGAUGUCUAUGGAAUAGAAGAUGAUGCUGAGUACGAGGACAGGAAGGCUUUUGUCAGCCUACUUAAACAGCUGCUGCAGCUGGACGCCAGGCAGAGGACAACUGCAGCCCGAGCUCUGAGACACCCGUUUGUGACAAUGUCACAUCUGGAGAAGAGCAGCAGCUCUUAUGUGACAGAGUCCCAAGUGCUGAUGAGUGUCUGUCCAGAGCCGGAUCCAGCAGUUGGAGACAAUGAGCUUUUUAGUGAUGCAUCUCAGGGAACUGAUGGAGCUGCAGCAAGUGAGAUCUUCAGGUGGAGCUGCAGAUGGUGGGAUUUUAAGUGGUGUGUCCAGAGAAACCGUUGCCUUUGGUGACGGAGCUACAUCUGUUG